rnacentral:rRNA from 1 species
AACGAACGCUGGCGGCGGGGUUUAGGCAUGCAAGUCGAGCGAGAAAAGCGCAAGCUGAGUACAGCGGCGUAAGGGUGAGUAAUAGGUAGUCAACGUACCGGGCAGACGCGAAUAAUUUCCCGAAAGGGAUUGUAAUGCGCGAUGAGAUCACGGGCACCACGGUGCAUGGGAUCAAAGGUCGGGGAUCCUUCGGGACCUGGCGCUGUCUGAGCGGACUACCUCUGAUUAGCUAGUUGGCGGGGUAACGGCCCACCAACGGCGAUGAUCAGUAGCCGGCCGUCGAGAGGGUGGUCCGGCCGACACUGGGACGUGAGACACUGCCCACGACUCCUACGGAGGCUGCAGUCGCGAAUCAUUCUACAAUAGGACGA